rnacentral:rRNA from 1 species
GGUAUUCUGACUGUGCUAAGGUAGCAUAGUCAUUUGCUUCUUAAUUGGUAGCUAGAAUGAAAGGUUAAACUAACUUUAUUAGUUUGUUUAGCUGUAUAUAAAGUUUAAGUCAAGGUAAGAAUUCUUUGAUCUUCUAGGGGACGAUAAGACCCUAGAAGCUUUAUAAUUAGUUUAAGUGUAUAAAUUAAGACAAUUUAUUUUACUGGGGCGGUGUUAGUAAAUAAACUAUUUAAGGUUUGAUUGAUCCUUAAUAUAAAGAUGGUUCGGAAAAGUUACUUUAGGGAUAACAGUGUUAUAUUCUUGGAGAGAUCUUAUCGAUAAGUAUGUUUACAACCUCGAUGUUGAAUUAAGAAUGUCUUCUUACAGUAGCAGGUAUUAAAGAGGGUUUGUUCAACCUUUAAAUUCUUACAUGAUCUGAGUUCAAACCGG